rnacentral:rRNA from 1 species
CUGCUUGAGAGUGGCGAACGGGUGAGUAACACGUAGGUGAUCUACCUUAGAGGCCAGGGAUAGCCUGUGGAAACACAGGGUAAUACCUGAUGUGAGCUGCAGCUUACGGGCUGUAGGGGAAAGGUGCUCAGGCACCGCCUUAAGAUGAGCCCGCGGUCCAUUAGCUAGUUGGUGGGGUAAGAGCCUACCAAGGCGACGAUGGAUAGCCGACCUGAGAGGGUGACCGGUCACACUGGGACUGAGACACGGCCCAGACUCCUACGGGAGGCAGCAGCUAAGAAUCUUCCGCAAUGGGGGAAACCCUGACGGAGCGACGCCGCGUGGACGAAGAAGGCCGGAAGGUUGUAAAGUCCUUUUGCAGAUGAAGAAUAAGGUGAGGAGGGAAUGCCUCAUCGAUGACGUUAGUUUGUGAAUAAGCUCCGGCUAAUUACGUGCCAGCAGCCGCGGUAACACGUAAGGGGCGAGCGUUGUUCGGAAUUAUUGGGCGUAAAGGGCGUGUAGGCGGUCUGGUAAGUCUGGUGUGUAAGGCUGCGGCUUAACCGUAGUUGUGCGCUGGAAACUGCCGGGCUAGAGUCCAGAAGGGGGAGGUAGAAUUCCUGGUGUAGGGGUGAAAUCUGUAGAUAUCAGGAAGAAUACCGGUGGCGAAGGCGACCUCCUGGUCUUGGACUGACGCUGAGGCGCGAAAGCGUGGGGAGCGAACAGGAUUAGAUACCCUGGUAGUCCACGCU